AGAUUUCUGGAAUGGAUCGUGUCUUAAAUCUACAUGGCCCCUGGAUUGGACUGCGGCCGAUCAGGCUGUUGGUGAGGUAAUGGCCCACCAAACCUAUAACCGGUACGGGCUCUGAGAGGAGAAGCCCGGAGAUGGGCACUGAGACAAGGGCCCAGGCCCUAUGGGGCGCACCAGGCGCGAAACCUCUGCAAUGGGCGAAAGCCUGACAGGGUUACUCUGAGUGAUUUCCGCUAAGGAGAUCUUUUGGCAGCUCUAAAAAUGGUGCAAAAUAAGGGGUGGGCAAGUCUGGUGUCAGCCGCCGCGGUAAUACCAGCACCCCGAGUGGUCGGGACGAUUAUUGGGCCUAAAGCAUCCGUAGCCGGUCGUGCAAGUCCUCCGUUAAAUCCAGCCGCUCAACGGAUGGGCUGCGGAGGAUACUACAGGACUAGGAGGCGGGAGAGGCAAGCGGUACUCUAGUGGGGAGGGGUAAAAUCCUUUGAUUCAUUGAAAA
rnacentral:rRNA from 1 species